rnacentral:rRNA from 1 species
GCAAUGGGCGCAAGCCUGACGGAGCAAGACCGCGUGCGGGAGGACGGCCUAUUGGUUGUAAACCGCUUUUGAUAGGGAAGAAGUUCUGACGGUACCUAUCGAAUCAGCAUCGGCUAACUCCGUGCCAGCAGCCGCGGUAAUACGGAGGAUGCAAGCGUUAUCCGGAAUUAUUGGGCGUAAAGCGUCCGUAGGUGGUUGUUCAAGUCUGCUGUUAAAGCGUGCGGCUUAACCGCAUACCAGCAGUGGAAACUGGGCGACUAGAGUGCGGUAGGGGUCAGGGGAAUUCCCAGUGUAGCGGUGAAAUGCGUAGAUAUUGGGAAGAACACCGGUGGCGAAAGCGCCUGACUGGACC